AUGUUGGGUGUUACCUUUUCCUCAUUCCUUACAGCUGUAGCUCUCUUAAAUGCUGUUAAUGCUGCAGACACGGUCUCACAGGAGCCGGUUACAGCGGCAAAGUUUGAAGGAGACUCGGUGACCAUUAAUUACACCUAUUCGACCACUGCUAAUUCACACUCUUUACAACUGUACCGUCAGGAUCAGGGCGAAGCCCCUACAAUCUUAAUCUACAUCCCUAAGUAUGGAGAUGUUUUCAGAGCAGACGGCGCGGGGACUCGAUUUUCUGCCUCUCUCGACUCUUUGAAAAGUGAAGGGAAUUUCACCAUCCGUGACCUGCGGCUGUCUGACAGCGCGGUGUAUUACUGCGGGCUGAGAGACACAGUGACAGGAACCAGAGGGAGCCCCGCUUUCUACAUCUCCAGUCUCCGUUCCUCGGUUCAUUUGAUCAAAGCUGACACAUAUUGCCUAUUUGAUCAGAGUAUAUUUAGCUAUUGUUAUUCUGGUAGCGUGGCCGAGCGGUCUAAGGCGCUGGAUUAA